ensembl:rRNA 5S_rRNA 5S ribosomal RNA
GUCUACGGCCAUACCACCCUGAAUGUGCCCAAUCUUGUCUGAUCUCAGAAGCUAAGCAGGGUUGGGCCUGGUUAGUACUUGGAUGGGAGUGUAGCUCUUUCUUUGUUAUAUGAUACACUUAUCUGGAUGAUGUGAAUG